GACGAACGCUGGCGGCGUGCUUAACACAUGCAAGUCGAACGGAAAGGCCCUGCUUUUGUGGGGUGCUCGAGUGGCGAACGGGUGAGUAACACGUGAGUAACCUGCCCUUGACUUUGGGAUAACUUCAGGAAACUGGGGCUAAUACCGGAUAGGAGCUCCUGCUGCAUGGUGGGGGUUGGAAAGUUUCGGCGGUUGGGGAUGGACUCGCGGCUUAUCAGCUUGUUGGUGGGGUAGUGGCUUACCAAGGCUUUGACGGGUAGCCGGCCUGAGAGGGUGACCGGCCACAUUGGGACUGAGAUACGGCGCAGACUCCUACGGGAGGCAGCAGUGGGGAAUAUUGCACAGUGGGCGGGAGCCUGAUGCAGCAACGCCGCGUGCGGGAUGACGGCCUUCGGGUUGUAAACCGCUUUCGCCUGUGACGAAGCGUGAGUGACGGUAAUGGGUAAAGAAGCACCGGCUAACUACGUG
rnacentral:rRNA from 1 species